GGAAAUCACAGAAUUUUAGUCUACAACUAUCUUGAGAAUAACAGUCUUGCGCAAAAUCUUCUUGGAGGAGGUCACAGUCACAGUAACAUCCAGUUUAGUUGGAGAGCACGAUCCAAAAUCUGCAUUGGUGUAGCUCGAGGGCUUGCCUUCCUUCAUGAUGAUUUACGGCCACACAUUGUGCAUAGAGAUAUCAAAGCGAGCAAUAUUCUCCUUGACAAAGACCUAACACCCAAAAUUUCAGAUUUUGGUCUAGCCAAGCUUAUCCCACCUAACAUGACUCAUGUCAGUACACGUGUAGCUGGAACGAUAGGUUACCUGGCACCCGAGUAUGCAAUAAGGGGGCAGCUGACGAGGAAAGCAGACAUUUAUAGUUUUGGUGUCCUGCUUGUGGAAAUUGUUAGUGGGAGAUGCAACACAAAUACGCGAUUACCUAUCGACGAACAAUAUCUCCUAGAAAGGACUUGGGAACUUUAUGAGCGGAAGGAACUGGUCGGGCUGGUGGAUACAUCACUGGAUGGUGACUUUGAUGCUGAGGAGGCAUGUAGGUUUCUAAAGAUUGGUUUACUCUGCACCCAAGAUGGUCCAAAGCUUCGUCCCUCCAUGUCUACUGUGGUCAAGCUGCUAACCGGUGAGAAGGACGUUGAUGACACAAAGAUAACAAAACCAGGUUUAAUUACUGAUUUCAUGGACCUCAAAAUACGAGGCCCCCCUAAAGCCAAAUCCCAGAAAAAGACAUCUUCCUAUGAUAAAACCAAAUCUGAAACAAAGGCUGGAUUUAAUUUGUCAUCUGAUUCUGACAAACUGGAUGACUCAACCUUGUCAUCAGGAAACUCAACAAGUGCAGCCACGACCUUAACUGCGUCAUAUGAUUGAAGUAUUUAAACAUCAGUGUGAAAAAGCAUAUCCAUUGGAUUUAUUUUUUUUUUUUUCCUUUCUUGAGGCUUUUAAUUGUGUAAAUUUUGGAACCAUGUUCCUUUCUUGUUUUCCCUUUUUUUUCGGCUACACAAGUUUUGCCGCAUAUAUUCCCUCUCUUGUAAAUGGAUGACGUUCAGUAAAUUGAAGAAAGUGUACUGGUUUGAUCUUUAAAAAAGAGGGAAUAUAUGCGGCAAAACUUGUGU
rnacentral:misc_RNA from 1 species